rnacentral:rRNA from 1 species
AUUGAACGCUGGCGGCAGGCCUAACACAUGCAAGUCGAACGGUAACAGGAAGAAGCUUGCUUCUUUGCUGACGAGUGGCGGACGGGUGAGUAAUGUCUGGGAAACUGCCUGAUGGAGGGGGAUAACUACUGGAAACGGUAGCUAAUACCGCAUAACGUCGCAAGACCAAAGAGGGGGACCUUCGGGCCUCUUGCCAUCGGAUGUGCCCAGAUGGGAUUAGCUAGUAGGUGGGGUAACGGCUCACCUAGGCGACGAUCCCUAGCUGGUCUGAGAGGAUGACCAGCCACACUGGAACUGAGACACGGUCCAGACUCCUACGGCAGGCAGCAGUGGGGAAUAUUGCACAAUGGGCGCAAGCCUGAUGCAGCCAUGCCGCGUGUAUGAAGAAGGCCUUCGGGUUGUAAAGUACUUUCAGCGGGGAGGAAGGGAGUAAAGUUAAUACCUUUGCUCAUUGACGUUACCCGCAGAAGAAGCACCGGCUAACUCCGUG